AGAGUUUGAUUCUGGCUCAGGAUGAACGCUAGCGGCAGGCUUAACACAUGCAAGUCGAGGGGCAGCGCGGGGCGGCAACGUCCUGGCGGCGACCGGCGGAAGGGUGCGUAACGCGUGAGCGACAUGCCCGUUGCCCGGGGACAACCGGUGGAAACGCCGACUAAUCCCCGAUGGGACGGAGGCCCUCAUGGGUCUCUGUUGAAAGUUACGGCGGCGACGGAUUGGCUCGCGUCCGAUUAGCUUGUUGGCGGGGUAACGGCCCACCAAGGCUACGAUCGGUAGGGGUUCUGAGAGGAAGGUCCCCCACAAUGGAACUGAGACACGGUCCAUACUCCUACGGGAGGCAGCAGUGAGGAAUAUUGGUCAAUGGGCGGAAGCCUGAACCAGCCAUGCCGCGUGCGGGAAGGAGGCCCUAUGGGCUGUGAACCGCUUUUGCCUGGGGGCAAUAAGGGCGUCGCGCACGUCCGAUGAGAGUACCAGGCGAAUAAGCAUCGGCUAACUCCGUGCCAGCAGCCGCGGUAAUACGGGGGAUGCGAGCGUUAUCCGGAUUCAUUGGGUUUAAAGGGUGCGUAGGCUGUGCGUCAAGUCAGGGGUGAAAUUCCGGGGCUCAACUCCGGGGCUGCCCUUGAUACUGUCGCGCUGGAGUGCGGAUGCCGCCGGAGGAAUGAGUGGUGUAGCGGUGAAAUGCUUAGAUAUCAAAAAGAACACCGAUUGCGAAGGCAUCCGGCGAAUCCGUAACUGACGCUGAGGCACGAAAGCGUGGGGAUAGAAAAGGAUUAGAUACCCUGGUAUUCCACGCCGUAAA
rnacentral:rRNA from 1 species